AACGAACGCUGGCGGCAUGCCUAACACAUGCAAGUCGAACGAUCCCUUCGGGGACAGUGGCGCACGGGUGCGUAACGCGACGGAACCUGCACUCGGGUUGGGAAUACCUCUGAGAAAUUUGAGCUAAUAGCGGAUAAUGUCUUAGGCCGAAAGAUUUAUUGCCUUUGGAUGGGCACGCGUUGGAUUAGCUAGUUGGUGGGGUAAAGGCCUACCAAGGCGACAAUACAUAGCUGGUCUGGGAGGAUGAUCAGCCACACUGGGACUGGGACACGGCCCAGACUCUUACGGGAGGCAGCAGUGGUGAAUGUUGGACACUGGGCGAAUGCCUGAUCCUGUCAGGCCGCGAGAGUGAUGAAGGCCUGAGGGUUGUAAAGCUCUUUUACCCGCGAAGAUAAUGACAGUACCGAGAGAGUAAGCCCCGGCUAACUCCGUG
rnacentral:rRNA from 1 species